GCCAAUGUUUCCACGUGUACUGAGCCUCUGCCCUAUCCAUGAAGGGACCCCAUUGAAGUUGAUCACUCCAUGCCAUUGUUGGAAGAAUUCCUCCAGCUGUGGACAUGUUACUUUGCAUGGCUGUCUAACGGAAACCACGAUGUUGCAUUUUAGCUGAGUUCCAGGACCAAAAUACAAAAAAUACAAGACCAUCCAGAUCUUUGGGAAUUUUCCGCAGGAAUACUUUUUGGUGUACGAAUUGCUGGUCAGUGUCCAUCUUGAAUGUUCUCUGCCUGUGCUUUGUUGAAGUUGGCAUUGUAUGUUCUCUAAUGCCAAGACGCUGAUAUAAUCGUCAUCUUCUCCCAUUAUUUUAUGGGGUCGCUGAAUGCAUAAGGUAAGAAAGGUUCUGCUGAGAGUGCUUGGGUUGUCGAUGGCCGUUCCUCAAACUAAUGAAAUUCGCUUACCCAAUUUUCCUU